rnacentral:rRNA from 1 species
CCUACGGGAGGCAGCAGUAGGGAAUAUUGCUCAAUGGGGGAAACCCUGAAGCAGCAACGCCGCGUGGAGGAUGAAGGUUUUCGGAUUGUAAACUCCUUUUGCCGGGGAGCAAGCGUGCGUUCGUGAACGCGCGUCGAGAGUACCCGGAGAAAAAGCAUCGGCUAACUCCGUGCCAGCAGCCGCGGUAAUACGGAGGAUGCGAGCGUUAUCCGGAUUUAUUGGGUUUAAAGGGUGCGUAGGCGGGAUGCCAAGUCAGCGGUAAAAAUGCGGUGCUCAACGCCGUCGAGCCGUUGAAACUGGCGUUCUUGAGUGGGCGAGAAGUAUGCGGAAUGCGUGGUGUAGCGGUGAAAUGCAUAGAUAUCACGCAGAACUCCGAUUGCGAAGGCAGCAUACCGGCGCCCUACUGACGCUGAGGCACGAAAGCGUGGGUAUCGAACAGGAUUAGAUACCCGUGUAGUC